rnacentral:lncRNA from 1 species
ACACACACACACACACACACACACACAGAGGCAAUCACUUGCUAGUUCUGGAUCUGGUCCACAUCUGGUGAGUCAUCUGACCUCUGUUGCAAGCAAAACUUUCUCUCCCACAGGGCCUUCCCCACCCCCAUUCCCAGUCAGGCUCUGGUCUCUCUGGUUUCUGACUUUUAUUUUGAAUACCUCAUCCCCGUAACCCUAUGCUUUAUCCUCAGUUUGGCCUUGAAGAAAAGCAGAGCAAGAAUUGGAAUGACAUUUGUAAGAAGGAGGAAAAUCUUUUCCUUCCGCCUAUGUAUUCAGGAGUUGUGAUAUCCCUAUAUCCUAGCAACAGUCUUAGAGAUAGGACUGGCUGCUUUGGGCUCGGAGCAACAAACAUGUUCCAGACAUUGUGCUAGGUGCUGGAAAAAACACUCAAGGAUAAGACACGUUCCUUUAUCCUCCAAAGGUCAUCACCUUCCUCAGCAUCACCUGGAGACUUGAUAAAAAUCCCGACACCUGAGCUUCACUCUGACCCUCGGAACCUGCUGAAUCAGAAUCUCUGGGGGUUAGGCUCAGGGAUCUGCUAGUAAAGCAAGCCUCCCAGGUUAAUCUCCGUAAAAUUUGAGAGAAGGCAAGUGAGAGAGUCCUGAAUCAGAGGUGGAGGAACACUCGUGUGUCCUAGCUGGGAAAAAACCCUGAUGGGCUCUUGAUAUCCAGAGGGAUAGAAUCUUUUAACUUGGGAGUUUGCCGGGGCUUGUGGGUGAUCAGCUGGGAUUCUGUAGGUGUGAGGGACGAAUAAUAAGAACCACUUAGAAAAUUUUAAUUAACCUAAGUACGAAAAUCAAGUUAAAGUCAGAUCAAGCAAUAUUUACUGAUACCUACUAUGGUCACGGCGAUUUGGGGGAUGAAGACGUCCAAGGUAAGUUCCUGCCUUCCAUUUAGCAGUGGACAUAAGACUUACUAAUGUAAGCCAAAGGAUGAAAAAGAAGUAAAACUUUAGGGAGGUGAGAGUAUGGAGAACGUCAUCUUGUAACGGGUAGGGGUGUUUAAAUGGGCCCCUGAGAAUACUGAGGAAUGAUGUCAGCAUCAUCAAAGGUCGCUCCUUUUUGUCCCCUUUUUAACAACUAAUUAGGCAUCCAUCCACGAACAAAAGUGUUUCUGUGAGAGUUGUAGAAUCCAGAACCGUUUACACAGGAGGACUCCUUGGAGGAGUCCUGCCCACCAGUGCGUCUGGUGAUAGGCAGACACACCUUGGUCUGGGCUGUGGGACCAACAGGAGCCAGCAAACCGGCCCCAAUCCCUCUCUCUGCUGCAGCUGGGGAAAACCUGGCGCAUGCCCAUGGAGAGAGACUUUGUAGAAAUCCAGCCUUCUGGAGGGGAGAAUACACCACUCGGCUGGAGAAUCCCGG